ensembl:lncRNA novel transcript
GGACCGGAGGCCGCGGGGACAGCGCGCCGGGCGAGUCUGCUGGAGCUGCCUCUGCGGCCCCUGUCCUCACCCCUGAGGAGGCCAGGCCCGGGCAGGUGCCUGGGCUGGGGCUGCUCCUGGCCAGGCUGGAAGACUGUCAGAUGGAGGACAGGUCAGGUGGUCGGAAAGCUGGGGACAGGGAGGGAGCAGGUUUGACGGAGGGACGUAUGGGCAGGCUCCUCCUCCCGGUCAGGUCCCACGUGACCCCCCAGCCACGCCUACCCACAUCGCCCUGCUGGAGGCCGGGGGCGGGGGGAGCGGGGAGUGGGGGGUGUGGGGGGUGAGGGGGGUGGGGGUGGGGGUGGCCCGGCCCGGAGCUAGGGGGCGGGGCCGUGCUUCUUCUGGCCCUGGCCUCCAAUUGGCUGCCGGGCGUGGGAAAGCGUGCACCACUGCCUGGCGCCCAUAAAGACGCCUCCACCACCUGCGCCGCCGCCGCCUCCCGGCCGCCCUCCGCCCCGCGCGCUCGUUGAGGCCGGUGCUCCAGAGUGAAGAGCGUGGCGGUGCGGCGGUAGCGCAGGGCCCUCCUGCGGGGCCAGGCAGGGGCGGGUGGGCGCUCCUUGCCACCUUUCUGCUCUCCCUGCUGUCCGAGAAGUUCGUGCGGUGCCAGCCCAGCUCCCAGCUGGGGACAGAACAGGAAACGUCCCCGGCGAGCCUGGCGGGGGUGGCGGCAGGGGUGUCUGUCGCCUGCGCUGGGCAGGACGCGCGUCCUACCGGCCUCCCACUCCGCGGGCCUCACCAGCCACCUCAUUCCCGGAGCCCGGGCCGCCGAGAGCGCCGCGGAUGGACCUCAGGGAAGGCCUGGCGCGCCGCCUCCGGGAAGCCUUCCGGCCUUCUCCCUCCACCGAGUACUGGGGAGUCUCAGGCCACGGUGAAUGAAGAGCAACGGGCCGGAGAGACCUCGGCCUCUGCCCAGGAGCAGCGCCCAGCAACCCCGCCCACAGGGGACCCGGUGGACGCCCUGGUGGCCACUUUGCCAGGCUCCCCAUCUCCCAGCGAACCAGAGAGGAUUUCCGUUCCCCUCCUGCUUGGUGCCUAGCGCCAGGGCGGGGCGUGGGCUGAGCAGCCCCUCCCAUGGAGGGAGCGGCCAGUCUACAUAUUGGAGGUGGGGCUCUGGGGAAAGGGUGUUGUUAGGAAGGCGGUUUGAGGCAGCGGGAGGUGGGGAUGCGCCCGGCGGGGAGGGGCAGGUGUGUGGGGAGGGCCUGGGGAGCGCCUCCCCAGCCGGGCAGCGCUUCCCCAGCCAGGCCCCGCAGCUGGACCCCGGCUCCGUCCAGCCUGGGAAAGGACUCCACGGUUUAUGCUGAAGUGGUGGUGGGGUGGGUGAACGCUGCGCAAUGGAAGGGCAUGGCCCUGUGCUAAUUGCCCCGGGGUGUGGGGCUGUGGAGGCACUGCGGGGGGGAUGUGCUGUGUCAGUUGGGCAAUGGCGGCCAACUGUGGCGUGCAGGCCUUGGAGCUGCCCCUCCAUGGAGCUUUAAUAAAGGCACUAGCCCUGCAA